AACGUUCCCAGGAAGCAACAACUCAGCCCAGGCAUGGGCUAGUCGGAGCCUGGAGAUCUCAGCUGGGAUCCUGGCGCCUGGGGAAGGGCCCGGCUCUAAAAAUAAACUGCUCGCCUCAGCCUGGGAGCAGCCGUGCGAGCCUGGCGAGCAGGGGCUGCUGCCCGCCACUCCGGGCAGAUGACGGCGGGCCUGGCCCAGCCAGAGUGCCCCCCUCUCUGGCAGCUGGCCACUGGGACAGGCUGGUGGCAGCUGGCAGCCAGGAAUAUUUGACCCCCGACUCCCGGAGGUGCCCCCCCACCCCCAACCGCCCUGCCGCACACGUGAAUACACAUAUGCCCCAACCUGGGACGUGCUCCGCAGAGCGUGGCCAGACUGCUCCCGGGGACCAGCCGGUGAGGGGCAGUGGGGACGCCAGGAGGUGCCCUCCGCAUGCUGGACAGUGACAAGUCUCAGAACAGGGCUACUCUGAUUGGAGGAGAUGGGACGGGAACAAGGUGGGUGCCAGCCUGGCCUCCCACUGACUCCCCCACAGUGGAAACCCCCACGUCCGGAGCUCUCCUGUUCACCACGGGAACACAGUGCGACCCCCUCCCCCGCAUCGACUAUCUCCUCUAGAAACCCACCUGGACCUGGGCGCAGCCAGCCCUCCCGCCAGUCCUGAAUCCUGGCUGCCCCGCUGGGGUGAGCCAGGGACCCGGGUCUGCCUUCUCCGGCCGGCCUUCCUUCCGGGAGCCGUCCCUGAGCCUGCCCUGGCGGGAGUCCGCUGGGCACCACCUGGUGGAACAGAGAUGGAGUCUAGGAACUGCCAGCCCAGUGGGGAUGUCACCCACGACCGUGGGGACUCUCCGGGGUCUCCCAGGAGGCUCCUCGGAGUCCCCGGGGGCCCCCCUGGGCCUGCCCCCCUCAGCCGCCUCCCCCGUGUGGGUCAGUCCCCAUCUCUCUUCCCACGUCCAUUGGUCUCUUUUUCUCUCUAGACCCUCUGUCUCUUCUCUCAGCCUCGAGUGGCC
rnacentral:lncRNA from 1 species